AUUGAACGCUGGCGGCAGGCCUAACACAUGCAAGUCGAGCGAGCGGCGGGCGGGGGAGUAAUGUAUGGGGACUGCCCGAUAGAGGGGGGGAACUACUGGAAACGGUGGCUCAUAACGCAUAUUGUCGGAUUACGCCUAUGGGGUUAGCUCGUAGGUAAGGUAAUGGCUUACCGAGGCGACGAUCCCUCGCUGGUCUGAGAGGAUGAUUCGCCACACUGGGACGGAGACACGGCCCAGACGCCUACGGAGGCAGCAGUGGGGAAUAUUGCACAAUGGGCGCAAGCCUGAGGGAGCCAUGCCGCGUGUAUGAAGAAGGCCCUAGGGUUGUAAAGUACUUUCAGUCGGGAGGCGUUACCGACAGAAGAAGCACCGGCUAACUCCGUGCCAGCAGCCGCGGUAAUAC
rnacentral:rRNA from 1 species